AGGGAGGGAGGAGGGCGCGCGAGGCGACCACUCAACGGCCGGCGGCUCCUGAGGGACUAAGAGCUCGCGCGGGGAACGGCCUUCCUGGCUCUCGGAAACUGCAACCUGAGUUUGAGUUCUUCAUUGAGUGGGAGCCAGGAUGCUGCUGCUGCUUCAUUAAUAUUAUCAUUAUUUUACUGGUCUUCGCUUAAUGUUGCCACUAGCUGGUGCUAGAAAGCCAUUUAUAAAGCAUCCUGCUCUAUACAGAAAAUCUUAUCAUUGGUCAUCAGUUAAUGCAGUGGAUGGGGUGCAGGUAGAGAUAGUGAGGCCCUGCCACGGAAUUCCUGUUGCUCACUUGUUCUGUGAUGUCUCAUGGAGCAGGGAGUUUUCCAAAUAUGCCUGCGGUAGGGGAACCUCAGGCGCAGGAACUGAAUGCAGCCCUCCAGGAGUCAUAGAAUCAUAGAGUUGGAGGGGAUCCCAAGGCUUAUCUGGUCCAACCCCCUGCAAUGCAGGAAUCUCAACAAUCCUCUAUCCAAUUUGAAACCAUACCAGACACUGCUUAUCUUUGCAAAUGUGCUAGCUAGGCGUCUCUGGUCCCGAAGACUCAACAAUUUUGCACCCUCCUUGAGUGCUUUUGCCUGGCUGGAAUGUGUCCAUGAACUUUGAUCAUGCCUCUUGCUUGUCUGGAUGGAGGGCAGACGGAGCAGGAUGAGCAUGUGUGGAACAAAGUUCAUGUGCCUACUGAACAAA